GUAUAGCAUUAUACCGUGAAACUGCGAAUGGCUCAUUAAAUCAGUUAUUGUUUAUUUGAUAGUACCUUACUACUUGGAUAACCGUGGUAAUUCUAGAGCUAAUACAUGCUGAAAACCCCAACUUCGGAAGGGGUGUAUUUAUUAGAUAAAAAACCAAUGCCCUUCGGGGCUUCUUGGUGAUUCAUGAUAACUAAACGGAUCGCAUGGCCUUGCGCCGGCGACGGUUCAUUCAAAUUUCUGCCCUAUCAACUUUCGAUGGUAAGGUAUUGGCUUACCAUGGUUUCAACGGGUAACGGGGAAUUAGGGUUCGAUUCCGGAGAGGGAGCCUGAGAAACGGCUACCACAUCCAAGGAAGGCAGCAGGCGCGCAAAUUACCCAAUCCCGACACGGGGAAGUAGUGACAAUACAUACUGAUACAGGGCUCUUUUGGGUCUUGUAAUUGGAAUGAGUACAAUUUAAACCUCUUAACGAGGAACAAUUGGAGGGCAAGUCUGGUGGACACUCAGCUCCCAUUCUGCUGACGCCAGAGAUAGUCGGGCGGCCCCUAGGGGCUGUUAUGCCGGCUAGUCGCGCACCUAUUGAUUGAUGGGGAGGUGCCGGCAAGACAACCUGGAUCGGGGAAGGCUAAGGCACGCAAGUGCUAUGCUAAUCCCGAGCAGAGCUUGUGCGGAGCGAUCCGCACUACAGCCUGUGUAGAGCACGGWAAGGURUCGGCCCACUCCCUGAGUGGGCUUAAGGUACGUGCCAAUCCCAUCCGAAAGGGUGGCUGUCAGCAAUAGCGCCCAUCACGCGAAGGUUGGCAGGUCCGAGAURUGCGAGUAGCGUGUGCACUUCGGAGUAGUAAUGGCCAGCAGCCGCGGUAAUUCCAGCUCCAAUAGCGUAUAUUAAAGUUGUUGCAGUUAAAAAGCUCGUAGUUGAACCUUGGGCCUGGCUGGCAGGUCCGCCUCACCGCGUGUACUUGUCCGGCCGGGCCUUUCCUUCUGGAGAACCUCAUGCCCUUCACUGGGUGUGCUGGGGAACCAGGACUUUUACUUUGAAAAAAUUAGAGUGUUCAAAGCAGGCCUUUGCUCGAAUACGUUAGCAUGGAAUAAUAGAAUAGGACGUGCGGUCCUAUUUUGUUGGUUUCUAGGACCGCCGUAAUGAUUAAUAGGGACAGUCGGGGGCAUCAGUAUUCAAUUGUCAGAGGUGAAAUUCUUGGAUUUAUUGAAGACUAACUAUUGCGAAAGCAUUUGCCAAGGAUGUUUUCAUUAAUCAGUGAACGAAAGUUAGGGGAUCGAAGACGAUCAGAUACCGUCGUAGUCUUAACCGUAAACUAUGCCGACUAGGGAUCGGGCGAUGUUCUCAUUUUGACUCGCUCGGCACCUUACGAGAAAUCAAAGUUUUUGGGUCUGGGGGAGUA
rnacentral:rRNA from 1 species